rnacentral:rRNA from 1 species
GAUGAACGCUGGCGGCGUGCCUAAUACAUGCAAGUCGAGCGAACAGAUGAGGAGCUUGCUCCUCUGACGUUAGCGGCGGACGGGUGAGUAACACGUGGAUAACCUACCUAUAAGACUGGGAUAACCUCGGGAAACCGGAGCUAAUACCGGAUAAUAUAUUGAACCGCAUGGUUCAAUAGUGAAAGACGGUUUUGCUGUCACUUAUAGAUGGAUCCGCGCCGCAUUAGCUAGUUGGUAAGGUAACGGCUUACCAAGGCAACGAUGCGUAGCCGACCUGAGAGGGUGAUCGGCCACAUUGGACCUGAGACACGGUCCAGACUCCUACGGGAGGCAGCAGUAGGGAAUCUUCCGCAAUGGGCGAAAGCCUGACGGAGCAACGCCGCGUGAGUGAUGAAGGUCUUCGGAUCGUAAAACUCUGUUAUUAGGGAAGAACAAAUGUGUAAGUAACUAUGCACGUCUUGACGGUACCUAAUCAGAAAGCCACGGCUAACUACGUG